rnacentral:rRNA from 1 species
GAUGAACGCUAGCGGCAGGCUUAACACAUGCAAGUCGAGGGGUAUAGUUCUUCGGAGCUAGAGACCGGCGCACGGGUGCGUAACGCGUAUGCAAUCUACCUUUUGCAGAGGGAUAGCCCAGAGAAAUUUGGAUUAAUACCUCAUGGUAUGUGAGAAUGGCAUCAUUUUCACAUUAAAGUCACAACGGCAAAAGAUGAGCAUGCGUCCCAUUAGCUAGUUGGUAAGGUAACGGCUUACCAAGGCAACGAUGGGUAGGGGUCCUGAGAGGGAGAUCCCCGUCACUGGUACGGAGAGACGGACCAGACGCCUACGGGAGGCAGCCGUGAGGAAUAUUAGACAAUGGGCGCAAGCCUGAUCCAGCCAUGCCGCGUGCAGGAUGACGGUCCUAUGGAUUGUAAACUGCUUUUGUACAGGAAGGAACACUGGUUCGUGAACCAGCUUGACGGUACUGUAAGAAUAAGGAUCGGCUAACUCCGUGCCAGCCGCCGCGGUAACAC